rnacentral:lncRNA from 1 species
UGAAAAAGAAAAAGCUUGUCAGGUAAGUCCCUAAUCCUUGAAAUAGGAUGUCUUUUGGUAUCAGGGUUGAUUUAUAAGACCUUUGGGCAUAAUCUCCUGAAAUUCCUUCAAACACAACUUUCAACUCCUUUGGACAUGAUUGUCAAGGAGCAAUUUAUUUUCCAAAGUCGUGGUGCCUCUGUUUAGAGGAGCAAUUUACUUUUAAAAGUUG